rnacentral:rRNA from 1 species
GGCGGCCUUAGCGCGGUGGUCCCACCUGACCCCAUGCCGAACUCAGAAGUGAAACGCCGUAGCGCCGAUGGUAGUGUGGGGUCUCCCCAUGCGAGAGUAGGAAACUGCCAGGC